UUCAACUAUUACAAAAACAAACAGAAGCAAAUUCAGAUCCACAAAUAAGAAACAUAAUAAACCACAAAAGAUUAUCAAAGUAAUCCACCAACAAACAAUAUCUUGAAAACACUGAAAUCAAUAUUCUCUAAACAAAUACAAAGUAUCAUUUACAAUUACAAUACACCAAAAACUAAUGCAGCAGUUCCGAUAAUAGAACAGUACUGCAAUAAAAUCAUUCUAACUUAAACCAAAAUGUACAUAUGCAGUCUUUUCACCCAGACAGUAAACAUAUUGGAUUAAGAGCAGAAAACUAGAAGAUAGUUUGAUCUCAGGGAAAUAAUAGGGCCAUAGAAUCUAAUCUCAGAGGUUGGACAUCCCCCAUCCCCAAUGGUCCCCGGCAUCAAAAGGACUAACUGCAGGUUGAGAGGCGGGAGCAUCGUCAACAGAAAAACGGAGAGAGAGAAACUAUGGCAAUUAAACUUUCCAUAACUGUUGAUUAGUAUCCUGAAAAAUAAAUGAAAAUUUCCUAACUCUGUAAGCUUGGUUGUUCAUUGCAGUCAAAAAAAAGGCAUUAAGAAGCAAAAGGAUAAACAUAUUUUCAUGUCAGGCUAUAAACUGGAAGAGAUUGAAUCACAGAAGCAAAAAUGUUCUCAUUUUCAAGACAAAUAAAACAUACCACCAGCUCUUCGCCAUCAACAUUGCAUUUGCUCAGCAAGCGCAGAGCUCGGAGAACCCCUUCAGCAGAUUCAAAUUCACAGAAGCCAAAUCUUUUUGGGGUUCCAUCCGACGGAUCCUGAGCACGCUUCCAACUCUUAAUUGUUCCACAUAGCUGAGGAAGAUACAAAGAACCACAAUAUCAGCAAUGGGACAGAUAACAUAACAAAGAGACAUUACAUCAUGCCAAACAUGGAAGAUAUGUAACAAAAUCAACAAAGGUGUUUUCUCUCAUGAUAUUAACAUACCUCAAGGAGCGAAUGAAUAAAAUCAUUCUCCACUGAAGGAGCUAUCUUGCCUACAUAAACAGUAGUUUGUGGUUUUUCUACUGGUGCAACAAUUGGAACAACAGGCGGCCUGACAAUUGGGGGAGUCAUUGGAGGACGAAGUCCCAGAAAAGGAGGCCUUGGCAGUGGGGGAACUGUACCAACUGGAACUCCAGGACGAGGAAGAAAGGGAGGACGACCCAUCGGCAUAUAAGGAUAGCGAACAACUCCUGCAGUAUCAUGUAAAAACCACAUCUAUGCAAACACAUCAGAGUAGGUUCAUAAUUAACAUAAAAAAUCUUACAGAAAAAUCACUUUAUGAAUAGGGGCAAUUAAAUUUUCACAAACUUUAAAAGUGUUGUUACCACACAUCACAAGUAAGAGAUAUGGCAGCAUAGCAGAGCAACUUAUGACCAGCUGAGCAGACCUGAUGGAUAUUAACAAAUAAUACAAGGUUCAUAAAGAACAAGUCACCAAGCAUGCUUACCUUGCAUAUGCAGUUUCAAAAAUAGUAGCCUUGUCAAUAUAGCCAACGCACCAACUAACAAAUUUUUGCUAAUGAGUAUAAUGAGACU